rnacentral:sRNA from 1 species
GGUGGGCAUGGUGGUGCACACCUGUAAUCCCAGAGGCUUGGGAGGCCGAGGCAGGAGGAUCGCAAGUUGGAGGCCAGCCUUGACAACUUAGCGAGACCCUAACCCAGAGGUGCUGUACCACCAAGCUACAUCCUUUACCCUUUUUUAAAGUUUUGAGGCAGGGUCUCCCUAAAUUGCCUAGGGCCUCCCUAAGUUGCUGAGGCUGGCCUUGAACUUGGUGAUCCUCCUGCCUCAG